rnacentral:rRNA from 1 species
GAUGAACGCUGGCGGCGUGCCUAAUACAUGCAAGUCGAGCGAACGGACGAGAAUCUUGCUUCUCUGAUGUUAGCGGCGGACGGGUGAGUAACACGUGUAUAACCGACCUAUAAGACUGGGAUAACUUCGGGAAACCGGAGCUAAUACCGGAUAAUAUUUUGAACCGCAGGGUUCAAAAGUGAAAGACGGACUUGCUGUCACUUAUAGAUGGAUCCGCGCUGCAUUAGCUAGUUGGUAAGGUAACGGCCUACCAAGGCAACGAUGCAUAGCCGACCUGAGAGGGUGAUCAGCCACACUGGAACUGAGACACGGUCCAGACUCCUACGGGAGGCAGCAGUAGGGAAUCUUCCGCAAUGGGCGAAAGCCUGACGGAGCCACGCCGCGUGAGUGAUGAAGGUCUUCGGAUCGUAAAACUCUGUUAUUAGGGAAGAACAUAUGUGUAAGUAACUGUGCACAUCUUGACGGUACCUAAUCAGAAAGCCACGGCUAACUACGUG